UACGAAGGGUGCGAGCGUUAUUCGGAAUCACUGGGCGUAAAGGGUGCGUAGACGGUUUGUUAAGUUUGUCGUUAAAGACUCUAGCCUAACUGGAGGGUUGCGAUGAAAACUGGCGAGCUAGAGGGUGAGAGAGAGAAGUGGAAUUCCUGGAGUAGCGGUAAAAUGCGUGGAUCUCAGGAGGAACACCAAUGGCGAAGGCAGCUUCUUGGCUCAUUCCUGACGUUGAGGCACGAAAGCGUGGGGAGCGAACAGG
rnacentral:rRNA from 1 species